AUUGAACGCUGGCGGCAGGCCUAACACAUGCAAGUCGAGCGGAUGAAGGGAGCUUGCUCCUGGAUUCAGCGGCGGACGGGUGAGUAAUGCCUAGGAAUCUGCCUGGUAGUGGGGGAUAACGUCCGGAAACGGGCGCUAAUACCGCAUACGGCCUGAGGGAGAAAGUGGGAGGUCUUCGGACCUCACGCUAUCAGAUGAGCCUAGGACGGAUUAGCUAGUUGGUGGGGUAAAGGCCUACCAAGGCGACGAUCCGUAACUGGUCUGAGAGGAUGAUCAGUCACACUGGAACUGAGACACGGUCCAGACUCCUACGGGAGGCAGCAGUGGGGAAUCUUGGACAAUGGGCGAAAGCCUGAUGCAGCCAUGCCGCGUGUGUGAAGAAGGUCUUCGGAUUGUAAAGCUCUUUUAGUAGGGAGGAAGGGCAGUAAGUGAAUACCUUGCUGUUUUGACGUUACCAAAAGAAUAAGCACCGGCUAACUUCGUG
rnacentral:rRNA from 1 species